rnacentral:rRNA from 1 species
CAGCAGUGGGGAAUAUUGCGCAAUGGUCGAAAGACUGACGCAGCGACGCCGCGUGUGGGAGGAAGCCUUUCGGGGUGUAAACCACUGUCAGGGGGGAAGAAUCCCGAGUACUCGAAUAGGGUGCUCGAUUGACGGUACCUCCAGAGGAAGCGCCGGCUAACUCCGUGCCAGCAGCCGCGGUAAGACGGAGGGCGCAAGCGUUGUUCGGAAUUACUGGGCGUAAAGCGCACGCAGGCGGUCUGCUAAGUCCGUUGUGAAAGCCCGGGGCUCAACCCCGGAACUGCAUCGGAUACUGACAGACUGGAGACAGGUAGAGGCUAGCGGAAUUCCUGGUGUAGCGGUGGAAUGCGUAGAUAUCAGGAAGAACACCUGUGGCGAAGGCGGCUAGCUGGGCCUGUUCUGACGCUCAUGUGCGAAAGCGUGGGGAGCAAACAGGAUUAGA